UUGAUCCUGGCUCAGGAUGAACGCUAGCGGCGUGCCUAACACAUGCAAGUCGAACGUGAGGGGGUACUUGUAUCCCUGAAAGUGGCGGACGGGUGAGUAAGACGUAGGUGACCUGCCUCGAAGUGGGGGAUAACCAUUGGAAACGAUGGCUAAUACCGCAUAAGCUGGUGACGAUGGGAAUGGUUAUCAGGAAAGCUUUAGUGCUUUGAGAGGGGCCUACGGCCGAUUAGCUAGUUGGUGAGGUAAAGGCUCACCAAGGCGAUGAUCGGUAGCUGGUCUGAGAGGACGAUCAGCCACACGGGAACUGAGACACGGUCCCGACUCCUACGGGGGCAGCAGUGAGGAAUAUUCGGGCAAUGGGGGGCAACCCUGACCGAGCAACGCCGCGUGGAGGAUGACGGUUUUCGGAUUGUAAACUCC
rnacentral:rRNA from 1 species